rnacentral:rRNA from 1 species
GCCUACGGGGGGCAGCAGUGGGGGAUAUUGCACAAUGGGGGGAACCCUGAUGCAGCGACGCCGCGUGGGUGAAGAAGCGCCUCGGCGCGUAAAGCCCUGUCAGCAGGGAAGAAAAUGACGGUACCUGAAGAAGAAGCCCCGGCUAACUACGUGCCAGCAGCCGCGGUAAUACGUAGGGGGCGAGCGUUAUCCGGAAUUACUGGGUGUAAAGGGAGCGUAGACGGCGAGGUAAGCCUGAAGUGGAAGCCCGCGGCCCAACCGCGGAACUGCUUUGGGAACUGUUUUGCUGGAGUAUGGGAGGGGUA